GGCAGCUGUGGCCUAAUGGUUAGAGCGUCGGACUUAGAACCUGAAGGUUGUGGGUUCAAGUCUCAGGCUGGCA